rnacentral:rRNA from 1 species
AGAGUUUGAUCCUGGCUCAGAACGAACGCUGGCGGCGUGCCUAACACAUGCAAGUCGCACGAGAAAUCCUGGGCAACCGGGAAAGUAUAGUGGCGCACGGGUGAGUAACGCGUGGGUAACCUGCCCUUGAGUUGGGGAUAACCCCGCGAAAGCGGGGCUAAUACCGAAUAAUAUGUCAGUUCCCAUGGGGAUUGAUAUCAAAGAUGGCCUCUGCAUGCAAGCUAUUGCUUAAGGAUGGGCCCGCGUACCAUUAGCUAGUUGGUGGGGUAAUAGCCUACCAAGGCAACGAUGGUUAGCUGGUCUGAGAGGAUGGCCAGCCACACUGGAACUGAGACACGGUCCAGACUCCUACGGGAGGCAGCAGUGGGGAAUCUUGCGCAAUGGGGGAAACCCUGACGCAGCAACGCCGCGUGGGUGAUGAAGGCCUUCGGGUCGUAAAGCCCUGUCAGGUGGGAAGAAACAUGCUGAUGCUAAUAACAUCAACAUUUGACGGUACUACCGGAGGAAGCACCGGCUAACUCCGUGCCAGCAGCCGCGGUAAUACGGAGGGUGCAAGCGUUGUUCGGAAUUAUUGGGCGUAAAGCGCGUGCAGGCGGUCGAGUAAGUCAGAUGUGAAAGCCUUCCGCUCAACGGAAGAAGUGCAUUUGAGACUGCUCGGCUAGAGU